GAUCGCCUUUUGCUUGCUGGAGGGGUUGUAAAUAUCAGGCCGGGGCUGCAGUGUUUGUGGAUAUCAUGUGAAACAGCUUGCGUGGCUUUUGGUGCCGCUGGAGGAAAGACAAAAAACAAAACAAAACAAGAAAACCUUGAACUCACCAAUAUACGAAGGACUGCAAGUUCCCUGAGUAGGAAUUCCAGAUUCAAACCCACCCCUUGCAAAAUGGACAAGACCUUACUCAGCCCAUGUACUUUAUGUCCAUCUUCUAAUUUCUGCCUUUGCUUCCCCUCUGCAAAGAUGCACUUAUCUUUCUUAUUAUGAAAAAUUUCAAACAUACACAAGAAAGCAAGUACUGUAAUAAACCCUCAUA